rnacentral:rRNA from 1 species
UACGUAGGGAGCAAGCGUUAUCCGGAAUUAUUGGGCGUAAAGGGUGCGCAGGCGGUCCUGCAAGUCUGGAGUGAAACGUAUGAGCUCAACUCAUGCAUGGCUCUGGAAACUGGAGGACUGGAGAGCAGGAGAGGGCGGUGGAACUCCAUGUGUAGCGGUAAAAUGCGUAGAUAUAUGGAAGAACACCAGUGGCGAAGGCGGCCGCCUGGCCUGUUGCUGACACUGAGGCUCGAAAGUGUGGGUAUCAAACAGG